AUGACCAUCAGACUCCAGCUGUACAGAGGAAUGCAGUUCUGUUCCAGUCCCAGUCUAACAACCAGAACCUCUUCUCAAAAAGAAGGUCCAUGUGGCCCGCAAAGUCUGCACGAAGCAGCCAUGCAAGUGGAGUAUUGGAUACGGACAGAUUGCAAGUUACAGCCAAAGGCGGUAUGA
rnacentral:lncRNA from 1 species